rnacentral:tRNA from 1 species
GGUCCCUUAGCUCAGCUGGAUAGAGCACCGGCCUUCUAAGCCGACGGUCGCUGGUUCGAAUCCAGCAGGGAUCACCA